UGGAUGUUGACACACUAGAAGGAGGAUCCCCUAAUCAUUUCUUCACUAAUCUCUUUAUUCUUCUAUUUGAUCAUCUCAAGAACUCCCUCCCUUAAUAUUGCCUCUAUACUUCGCAUACUUGGAAAAAUACCCCAUCUUUAAUCAUUUUCUCAUUUUGUUUUAUAAGUUUGAAACACUUUUCAGUGUCAUGUCCAUUGAUUUGAUGCAACUUGCAACAUUUGUUUUGCCCGCCCCAAUUGUUUAUCACCCACCUCAUAGGAAUUCAAGCAACCUCAUCGAAUUCACAUCCUUCAAGAUAUGUCUCCUCAAAAUAUUUAGCGGCAUGUGGUGUGAAAUUUCUUCAAAACCCAUCACUUUAUCCUCCCUUAUGUAGUUUCUUCUUGAUCAACCUCCAUCACUUUUCUUACUCUAACCUGAUUUCGAUUUUAGAUUAUUUUCUUAGAACUUCAUACCUGAUGGUCCUUCUUGUCUUUCUAUAGCACACUUGAUAGCCAUCGUCUCCUCGACUUUAACAUGACAAGUAGUCAUUGUAUGAAUCUCAAUAAUUGUCUUAACUUUUUGGUGAACAAGAUAUUCAUUGAAUAGGCUUGCCUAAAGACCUUUACAAUGGUUGCCACGAACAUCCUCAUCCUAUCAAACCUCAUUAGUCAUGAAUAAUGCAACAAACAAACAUGCGAAGGCAUCCAAAUCAACGGCCAACCAUUAAUCAACAUUUGUGCUCAAAACAUCUUCAAAUUUUUACUGGGAUCUUGAGCUCCAUCAAAUGACUCCACCUUUGGAACCAAAAAGUGAAGAGAUAUAGGUUCCACUUCAGUUGGUUCUAGAAAGGGUUGAAAUCCCAAGAGUGAUCAACCACACUGCAUUUCCUUCCAAGCGUCUUAGGUUGGAAUCAUGUGUUCUCAUAACCUCCCAAGCAGCCUCAUUCUCACGAUUCAUCUACUCCUGAACCUCGUAACUCCUUUUGACCUCAUCUACACUCCUUUUUGACUCCUUACUCUCUCUGUGCAUGUCAUCCAUCACUGCCAUCAAUUGCUUUCCAAUAAUGUCUUGAUUUUUCACCAUCUUUACCUAGCUCUCAAGUUGUGAGAUUUGCAAAAUGGACACUAGAAAAAAGAUUCUAGCAUAGUACUGCAAAUGACACCAAAAUGUUCCAAUUGAUAAAGAGAAAACUCUGUCAUCAAAGUAUUCAAAAGUAAUUAGAGAAAACUCUUAUGUCUGUCUAACCUGUUUAUUAAUUAUAUGAUUAUUUUGUCUAAUCUAUUUUUUAUCUUUUAUUCUUUAUAAUUCACAUGGACCGUUAUCUUUAGGUGUAUAUGUAUAAAUGACUUGUUAUGGUAAUAUCUUAAAAAAUAAUUUUUAUAAUAAGAAUCGCCUUCCCUAUAUAAAUUAUCUUAAUAUAUUGUAUAUACUUAUGAUUUGUUAACCUUGGUGAGUAUCUGAGUAUUUUGUUAAUAGUCGUUCGAUAAACAUUAUGUAAGAUGUAAUUGGUCCAAACUUACUUGUAAUGGUAACGUGUCGAUCAGGCUUGGAGCUAAGAGGUGUCGGUGUUGAUUGCGAGCUUGCAUCGGCGUAAGUUGCACCUUUCUGCAUGCGAAGAAGGCGUGGCAGUAGCAGCAGUGGCUCCAUAAUUAGCAACUCGACGUGGCAUCUCUUACACUCUAGACUUCUCCAGAUUUUACUACCUACCAUAUCCAAAAUAAAUAUUAAAGAAGUUGUGUCUCCCAUGUUUACUCUUUUCUUUUUCUUAUUCCACCAAUAAU